CAGCCCCACAGGUGGUGUCAGCUCGGUGAGAAGGUUCCAGCCAGGGUAGGCAGUGGAGCGCCGCGCAACGCGCCUUCCUGCCUCCCGGCUGCGGGCCCCAACAGUUCCGACCCGGCGCCAGCAGGCCUGCUCGGUCGAUCUUCGAGCUGAAGAUGCGGCGGGGCUGGAAGAUGGCUCUGUCCGCGGCGCUGCGGUGCUGCCGCCGGGUACUUUCUUGGGUGCCAGUGCUUGUUAUCGUCCUCGUCGUGCUCUGGUCUUAUUAUGCCUACGUCUUUGAACUCUGCCUGGUUACUGUUUUGAGCUCAGCAGAAAAAGUUAUCUACCUCAUAUUCUACCAUGCCAUCUUUGUGUUCUUUACCUGGACCUACUGGAAGUCUAUUUUUACACUCCCUCAACAGCCAAACCAGAAGUUCCACUUAUCCUAUACAGACAAGGAGCGCUAUGAAAAUGAAGAGAGACCUGAGGUCCAAAAACAGAUGCUUGUUGAUAUUGCCAAGAAGCUACCAGUUUACACAAGAACCGGAAGUGGAGCUGUAAGAUUCUGUGACCGGUGCCAAUUGAUCAAGCCAGAUCGCUGCCACCACUGCUCUGUCUGUGCUAUGUGUGUAUUAAAAAUGGACCAUCACUGCCCUUGGGUUAAUAAUUGCAUUGGAUUUUCCAACUAUAAAUUCUUCCUUCAGUUCUUAGCUUAUUCUGUUCUCUACUGCCUGUACAUUGCUACAACGGUCUUCAGCUAUUUCAUCAAAUACUGGAGAGGGGAAUUGCCAAGUGUCCGCUCUAAGUUCCAUGUCCUUUUUCUCCUCUUUGUGGCCUGCAUGUUUUUUGUCAGCCUUGUGAUUCUCUUUGGUUACCAUUGUUGGCUUGUCAGCAGAAACAAAACCACCUUAGAGGCCUUCUGUACUCCAGUGUUUACAAGUGGCCCAAAGAAAAAUGGGUUCAACCUUGGCUUCAUAAAAAAUAUCCAGCAGGUUUUUGGAGACAACAAGAAGUUCUGGUUAAUACCUAUUGGGUCCAGCCCUGGUGAUGGACACUCCUUCCCUAUGAGGUCUAUGAAUGAGUCACAGAAUCCACUGCUAGCAAAUGAAGAGGCCUGGGAAGACAAUGAUGAUCACAACCGAGAUUAUUCAGACGGUUCAUCAUCUCUUGCGGUGGAAACAGAAACGUAGCAGUUUUCACAUUUCCUGCAUCUCUAAGACAGGUCACUGGGCUCAGAUGCAGUUUGUACUGCCCACUCCUGCAAGAAUGCUCUCUAAAUCUCUUUGUUCCUACUGGCUGAAGGGAGUGCCAUUCCACAACCUGAUUUCUCCCCUCUCCGGGCUGAGCCCCACAGAUCAUCUGUCUCCCAUGAAGCUUAUAGAGGUCAAUGUUGAGAACCAUUCUAAUCUUCAAAAUAAGUCACCAUGGCGGAUUGAAAGCUUCACUAUAUGAAAGCAUUUUAUCAAAUACGUGCUGUGAAAAUAGGUGUUUCAGAACUUUACAAGUCAUUUAAUUUGCUGACUGCAUUCAUCAAUCUGGUAGCAGUUAAUACCAUCCAGUCUUCCUCUAUUUCUCCCCCCACCCUCUGCCCGCCUCAAUCUGUGAAAGCCUAAAUGCAUAUAAAUCUUUCUAGGGGCUAUUUGCAUUCUUCUUAUAAGGUAAAGCAGAAUUCAAAAGACUUUCUUGGAGUCUUUAACUGCCCUGGAAAGUCUAUUAAUUAUAUCUAUAGGGUCUUUGUGGAAUUGAGGGGAAUCAGACUACAGACUACAUUUGCUGCUUGUGUGCAUGUGCAUUUACAAGCAUGCAUAUAUGUAG